AUCUUGUCCGAAACAUUCAAUAAAAAGCCUCUGUUCUUAUCAGCUUAAUAUCUGAUACGGGUCCUAUUUGGACCCAAGAUAUUAAACUUAUUUUUGGAAUGCGGCGGAGUGCUUGAAGCUUGCUUCACCUCCGCCACGGGUUGGCCCGGUAUUGCACUAUCUCCGGGAUCGGCCCACUCACC
rnacentral:snRNA from 1 species